rnacentral:rRNA from 1 species
UACGUAGGGUGCGAGCGUUGUCCGGAAUUAUUGGGCGUAAAGAGCUUGUAGGCGGUUUGUCGCGUCUGCCGUGAAAAUCCGGGGCUCAACCCCGGGCCUGCAGUGGGUACGGGCAGACUGGAGUGCGGUAGGGGAGAAUGGAAUUCCUGGUGUAGCGGUGGAAUGCGCAGAUAUCAGGAGGAACACCGAUGGCGAAGGCAGUUCUCUGGGCCGUAACUGACGCUGAGGAGCGAAAGCGUGGGGAGCGAACAGG